rnacentral:rRNA from 1 species
GAAGCCUCUGGAAAGUGGCGCCAUAGUGGGUGAUAGCCCCGUACACGAAACGGCAUACCGGACAUAUUAAGUAGGGCGGAGCACGUGAAACUCUGUUUGAAGAUAGGGGGACCAUCCUCUAAGGCUAAAUACUCGUUGCCGACCGAUAGUGAACCAGUACCGUGAGGGAAAGGCGAAAAGAACCCCGGAGAGGGGAGUGAAAUAGAACCUGAAACCGUGUGCGUACAAGCAGUAGGAGCAGACUUGUUCUGUGACUGCGUACCUUUUGUAUAAUGGGUCAGCGACUUAUAUUUAGUAGCAAGGUUAAGUGAAUAACGGAGCCGUAGCGAAAGCGAGUGUUAACUGCGCGUUUAGUUGCUAGGUAUAGACCCGAAACCCGGUGAUCUAGCCAUGAGCAGGUUGAAGGUUGAGUAACAUCAACUGGAGGACCGAACCCACUAACUUUGAAAAGUUAGGGGAUGACUUGUGGCUGGGGGUGAAAGGCCAAUCAAACCGGGAGAUAGCUGGUUCUCCCCGAAAUCUAUUUAGGUAGAGCCUCGGACGAAUUCCAUUGGGGGUAGAGCACUGUUAAGGCUAGGGGGUCAUCCCGACUUACCAACCCUUUGCAAACUCCGAAUACCAAUGAGAACUAUCCGGGAGACACACGGCGGGUGCUAACGUCCGUCGUGGAGAGGGAAACAACCCAGACCGCCAGCUAAGG